rnacentral:rRNA from 1 species
AGGACGAACGCUGGCGGCGUGCUUAACACAUGCAAGUCGAGCGGAAAGGCCCUUCGGGGUACUCGAGCGGCGAACGGGUGAGUAACACGUGAGCAACCUGCCCUUAGCUUCGGGAUAGGCUCCGGGAAACCGGAAUUAAUACCGAAUAUGACUGCGGACUGACAUCAGCCACGGUGGAAAGUUUUUCGGCUAGGGAUGGACUCGCGGCCUAUCAGCUAGUUGGUGAGGUAACGGCCCACCAAGGCGACGACGGGUA